GACAGAGGGGGCAAGCGUUGCUCGGAAUCACUGGGCGUAAAGGGCGCGUAGGCGGGAUGGCAAGUCAGUCGUGAAAUCUCUCGGCUCAACCGAGAAACGUCGGCUGAUACUGCCGUUCUUGAGGGAUGCAGAGGAGACUGGAAUUCCCGGUGUAGCGGUGAAAUGUGUAGAGAUCGGGAGGAACACCGGUGGCGAAGGCGGGUCUCUGGAACGCAACUGACGCUGAGACGCGAAAGCGUGGGGAGCAAACAGG
rnacentral:rRNA from 1 species